CCUACGGGAGGCUGCAGUGAGGAAUAUUGGUCAAUGGGCGCUAGCCUGAACCAGCCAAGUAGCGUGAAGGAUGAAGGCCCUAUGGGUUGUAAACUUCUUUUAUAGGGGAAUAAAGUGCAGGAGGUAUACGGCUUUGCAUGUACCUUAGGAAUAAGGAUCGGCUAACGCCGUGCCAGCAGCCGCGGUAAUACGGAGGAUCCGAGCGUUAUCCGGAUUUAAUGGGUUUAAAGGGAGCGUAGGCGGGUUGUUAAGUCAGUUGUGAAAGUUUGCGGCUCAACCGGAAAAGUGCAGUUGAUACUGGCAUCCUUGCGUGCAGUAGAGGUAUGCGGCAUUCGUGGUGUAGCGGUGAAAUGCUUAGAUCUCACGCAGAACUCCGAUUGCGAAGGCAGCCUGCUGGACUCUACCUGACGCUGAUGCUCGAAAGUGUGGGUAUCAAACAGGAUUAGAUACCCGAGUAGUC
rnacentral:rRNA from 1 species